rnacentral:rRNA from 1 species
UACGGGGGGGGCAAGCGUUGUUCGGAAUUACUGGGCGUAAAGGGCGCGUAGGCGCCUUCUAAGUCGAACGUGAAAUCCCCGGGCUCAACCCGGGAACUGCGUCCGAUACUGGAAGGCUUGAAUCCGGGAGAGGGAUGCGGAAUUCCAGGUGUAGCGGUGAAAUGCGUAGAUAUCUGGAGGAACACCGGUGGCGAAGGCGGCAUCCUGGACCGGCAUUGACGCUGAGGCGCGGAAAGCCAGGGGGAGCAAACGGGG